AUUAUAACCUAGUUAACUACAAGUCUAAAAAUAACUUAAAUAGGGUUAAAACAACAAAACCUUAUGUUAAACAAAAGUGAGGGACUAAUAUUGUCAAAAUUUAAACUUAUAUUACUAAAUUAGUGAAAACAAAACCAAAUACCCCAUAAUUGAGGUGUCUGGUCGUACAAGAAGCAGGAGGGCGACAAGGGUUCUUCACCAAACCCUAACUCUCACAAAAAUUGAUCAAUUGAAGGAUCAAAUCAAGUCCAAAACAAAAAUCGAGCAUAGAUUAAUGAUCCCCAUUGUAAGGAGAUCAUAAGCUUGACACCUAACGAGCUAGAUGGAAGCUUGUGGAUGAAGCGGGUCAAACGGAGCAAGUACGGAAAGAAAAGCGAGGCAUGGAUGCAAGGUAAGUGAAACUUACACCUUUUAGUAAAAUAAAUGUUCAUCCUAUAAGUUUCAAAUACAUUAAGAAUAAUUUUCAAGAUAUGGUUCCCGACGCGAAAUAAUACGGGUCGGAACUAACAUAAAUGAUAAAAACCAUGUUUAAUGGUAAAAGAGAUAGAACGGUAAAUUAGCCAUGAAAAGCUAAUUAUAAAAAUGGGUUUUUGAACGGCAACUAUAAGUAAGCCUAAUGAAUAAAAAGAGUAAAACGGGUCAAAUAGUAAUGUGGAUACCAUUUGACAAAUAUCGACUAAUAAGCACUUGUCGAGUUUUAUGCUUACAGGAUAAAGUAGCUUAUGAAUUAGCGUUGCUAUGAAUUAGCAAAUUUUUGAGACAAGGUAUUAAAACGGGUCAAUGUAUUGAUCCGAGCCAGGUACGUGUAAUUAUGUUAUAGUUAAAAGUGAUUAAAGCAUGGAUAUUGCUUCGUAACAUGAUUGAUUGUUCUAUUGUUGACAAUUGAAUAUUGACAUAUUAAAACACGAGAAUUUAAUAUGUUGGUUGUUAGAAUAAAAGAUUCGAGAAAUUGGUAUGGGCAACACAAACAAAACAGUCAAAAACUUACAUGUGCAGAGGCUACCGUAAGUUACGGUACCACCGUAACUUACGGUAGAGGUCAGAAGGCUACG